AUCGUAGUGGGGUCCAGUCCAGACAACAGGGAAGAGGGAAGCAGAAUGAUGUUUUGUAUCGAGCAAACAUUAGUCAUCGUAGUGGGGUCCAGUCCAGACAGCAGGGAAGCAGAAUGAUGUUUUAUAUCGAGCAAACAUUAGGACAGCUGUCAGUAUACCCAGUAGUCACUACUCACAGUGGGAAGGGUACAGGACAGCUGUCAGUAUACCCAGUAGUCACUACUCACAGUGGGAAGGGAACAGGACAGCUGUCAGUAUACCCAGUAGUCAAUACUCACAGUGGGAAGGGUACAGGACAGCUGUCAGUAUACCCAGUAGUCACUACUCACAGUUGGAAGAGAACAGGACAGCUGUCAGUAUACCCAGUAGUCACUACUCACAGUGGGAAGAGUACAGGACAGCUGUCAGUAUACCCAGUAGUCACUACUCACAGUGGGAAGGGUACAGGACAGCUGUCAGUAUACCCAGUAGUCACUACUCACAGUGUAAUGUAAUGGAAGAGUACAGGACAGCUGUCAGUAUACCCAGUAGUCACUACUCACAGUGGGAAGGGUACAGGACAGCUGUCAGUAUACCCAGUAGUCACUACUCACAGUGUAAUGUAAUGGAAGAGUACAGGACAGCUGUCAGUAUACCCAGUAGUCACUACUCACAGUGUAAUGUAAUGGAAGAGUACAGGACAGCUGUCAGUAUACCCAGUAGUCACUACUCACAGUGGGAAGGGUACAGGACAGCUGUCAGUAUACCCAGUAGUCACUACUCACAGUGUAAUGUAAUGGAAGAGUACAGGACAGCUGUCAGUAUACCCAGUAGUCACUUCUUUCAUGGCAUGCAGGGUUCUUCUUGUCCUUCUUCAUGUGAGUCUCAGGAAGUAUAGCAUACCUAGGGACAUGGUGUUUAACGGGCUCAUUUAUCAUCCAUCGCUUUCCAGCCAUUGAUGUAGUGACCGAGACCAACUUGAUUGAUUGAUACACUGCUACCUGUAGCUUUUGAUAAGGAGCAUGCCUGAGGCCAGCCAACCUACAGAGCAUGCUCAGUACGAGCAAGAAAUGACAUAGCACUUAUAGGUUAUGUCUCAAAGGGGCACCUUAUUCCUUAUAUAGUUAAGCAAUAAGGCCCGAGGAGGUGUGGUAUAUGGCCAAUAUACCACGGCUAAGAGCUGUUCUUAACGCACGACACAACGCGGAGUGCCUGGACACAGCCCUUAGCCGUGGUAUAUUGGCCAUAUGUCACAAACUCCCGAGGAGCCUUAUUGCUAUUAUUAACUGGUUACAGUUGUAAUUAGGGCAGUAAAACUAAAUGUUUUGUCAUACCUGUUGCAUACGGUCUGAUAUACCAUGGCUUUCAGCCAAUCAAAAUUCAGGGCUCAAACCUCCUAGUUUAUACUUCCUUAUGUACUGCACUACAGUGCAUAGGGAAUAGAGUGCCAUAGGGUCCUGGUCUAAAGUAGUGCACUAUAUAGGGAAUAGGGUGCCAUAGGGUCCUGGUCUAAAGUAGUGCACUAUAUAGGGAAUAGGGUGCCAUAGGGUCCUGGUCUAAAGUAGUGUACUAUAGGGAAUAGGGUGCCAUAGGGUCCUGGUCUAAAGUAGUGCACUAUAUAGGGAAUAGGGUGUCAUUUGAGAUGCACAAUAUUAUUAAGAGAAGGAAGAACUGUAAUGCCAAUACUUGUAUUGCUGUGGCUCUGCUGUUCAAUACAGAAGAACACAGCUGUGGCUGUUCAAUACCACAGAACACAGCUGUGGCUCGGCUGUUCAAUACAACGAUCAUCCCUACUGCCUCUGAUCUGGCAGACUCAAUAAAAACAUAUGCUUCGUUUGAAAAUGAUGUAUGAGUGCCCCUGGCUCUCCGUAAAAUUAAAAAGCAAGAACAUUGUGCUGCCUGGUUUGCUUAAUAUAAAGGAAUUUGAAAUUAUUUAUACUUUUACUUUUGAUACUUUUAAGUAUAUUUUAGCAAUUACAUUUAUUUUUGAUACUUAAGUACAUUUUAAAACGAAAUACUUUUAGUCAAGUAGUAUUUUACAGGGUGACUUUCACUUUUACCUGAGUCAUUUUCUUUAAAGGUAUCUUUACUUUUUUCUCAAGUAUGACAAUUGAGUACUUUUUCCACCGUUGCCUCCAUGCGUAUCUCUUCACAUACUGUACCAUGUUGACAGGGCUCUGUGUGUAAAUGAUAUUAGAUUUGACAGUAAUGAUUCAAUCUAAUGAAGGUUGUGAUAUAAGGUCAUUUGACCCACAUCAAUGUAUCUUACUGUCUAACUACAGGGUAUACACUCCUUGCAGUAAAUGCGCAUUUUAAAACCGUUAUCAUUCCUUUAGAGUUCCAGGGGAAGUCAGGCCUACCCUGUACCAACGGGUCAGAGGUCUACCCUGUACCAGUGGGUCAGAGGUCUAGCCUGUCAGAGGUCUACCCUGUACCAAUGGGUCAGAGGUCUACCCUGUACCAGUGGGUCAGAGGUCUAGCCUGUCAGAGGUCUACGCUGUACCAACGGGUCAGAGGUCUACCCUGUACCAACGGGUCAGAGGUCUACCCUGUACCAACGGGUCAGAGGUCUACCCUGUACCAAUGGGUCAGAGGUCUAGCCUGUACCAGUGGGUCAGAGGUCUAGCCUGUACCAGUGGGUCAGAGGUCUAGCCUGUACCAGUGGGUCAGAGGUCUAGCCUGUACCAGUGGGUCAGAGGUCUAGCCUGUACCAGUGGGUCAGAGGUCUAGCCUGUACCAAUGGGUCAGAGGUCUAGCCUGUACCAGUGGGUCAGAGGUCUAGCCUGUACCAGUGGGUCAGAGGUCUAGCCUGUACCAGUGGGUCAGAGGUCUAGCCUGUACCAGUGGGUCAGAGGUCUACCCUGUACCAACGGGUCAGAGGACUACCCUGUACCAGUGGGUCAGAGUUCUACCCUUUACCGGUGGGUUCUACACCUGUUGGGUCUAGCUAAUUUCCUCACAGUUUGUCUUGUUCCAUUGAUUGAAUCCGAAAACCCAAAUAGUCAUGGAUGGCGGUGGUGCAUCACUGAAAUCUCACAUACAGUCUGGUAGAAUGUAAAUUAUAAUUAUCAUACUAUAUUGGAUUGCAGUGUGUGGGCCUAUUGAGCAGGUUAUGGUUGUCUCCUUUCCAGUUUACAAUAUUAAGGGCACUACACUGUAUAGGACAUAAAAGACCUACGAGGAGAUGUGUUCAUAUGGCCUUUUGAAUGUAGCCAGGACAUCAUGUAGACUGGGCCAUUAGUCCCAAAUGGCACCCUAAUUCCCUUAAUAGUGCACUACUUUUUAUGGGAUCUGGUCAAAACUAGUGCACUGUAUAGGGAAUAGGGUACCGUUAUGGGAUCUGGUCAAAACUAGUGCACUACAUAGGGAAUAGUGUACCGUUUGGGACUCGGCCAAUGUCUGUCUGUCUGUCUGUCUGUCAAUCCUAUUUCACUGUCUGGCCACAAACAUCCACAUCCCCUCUUAGUCAUCACCAUCACAGAAUUCACAAAGUAGCUUUUGAACCAUCAAGUGUGCUUCCAUAUUUAAUCAGAACUGGUUGUGUUGUUUCUAUAGCUCUGUCAAACUGCACCCAUUAAAGCAUUUUUCUCUUU